rnacentral:sRNA from 1 species
GAUACGCGGGGAUGGGUAAGAUACACGGGGGUGAGAAU